rnacentral:rRNA from 1 species
CGAUAACGAACGAGACUCUGGCAUGCUAACUAGUUACGCGACCCCCGAGCGGUCGGCGUCCCCCAACUUCUUAGAGGGACAAGUGGCGUUCAGCCACCCGAGAUUGAGCAAUAACAGGUCUGUGAUGCCCUUAGAUGUCCGGGGCUGCACGCGCGCUACACUGACUGGCUCAGCGUGUGCCUACCCUACGCCGGCAGGCGCGGGUAACCCGUUGAACCCCAUUCGUGAUGGGGAUCGGGGAUUGCAAUUAUUCCCCAUGAACGAGGAAUUCCCAGUAAGUGCGGGUCAUAAGCUUGCGUUGAUUAAGUCCCUGCCCUUUGUACACACCGCCCGUCGCUACUACCGAUUGGAUGGUUUAGUGAGGCCCUCGGAUCGGCCCCGCCGGGGUCGGCCCACGGCCCUGGCGGAGCGCUGAGAAGACGGUCGAACUUGACUAUCUAGAGGAAGUAAAAGUCGUAACAAGGUUUCCGUAGG